GGGAAUAUAGCUCAGUUGGUAGUUUGUGCCUUACAUGCACAAAGCCCUGGGUUCAAUCCCCAGCACCACCC
rnacentral:tRNA from 1 species